rnacentral:lncRNA from 1 species
GGGUCUAAAUGGAUACAUACCAACAAUAUGUAGCUCGAUAUUAUAAUACUCGAGUGAAAGUUAAGUUCUUCUGAUCUAGAGAUCUUGUGCUCAAAAAGAUUGAGUGACCUAAUCAAUGAAAUAAGAUAAGCUCGCAUCAAAUUAAAAAGGACCACAUUGAGUAUCAAAGGUCAUUCACCUAAUCAGAAUCUAUCACCUAUAGCAUCUUGAUAGGAUAUCUAUAUCAUGGAUAUGGAAUUCAACCAAUCUUUGAGUGUAUUAUCAAUAAGAGACGUCUUAUUGUUAUGUAUACUUGAUCCCAGUAAAUAAAAUACUAUUUCUCCAAAAACUAUCAAUACUUUAGGUUGGAUAACUCUCUCUAAAAUGAGUCAAAAAGGAUCGAGUGCACCCCUAAAGACUGCUGACUACCGAAUCUACAAUGAGUGUGCAUGUCUCAGCCCUCCUGAUUGCGUGCCUCUUCUAAAGAAUGUUGAUCAUGAAUUUUAUAGAGCAAGUCUCUCCUAUGAUCACUAAGAAAGUACUUUCAAGCAUAGCUAGUUGGGCAAGUCGUUUCAUGGCCUCAAGGAGGCGACACCUCCAUCUUGAGCCAAUCCUAAUGCCAAAGAUCUGGUGAGCUAACCAAUCGUUCAAGGUCAGCAUAGUCCAGAUGCACAAAUUGAAUGAGCCAUUUCAUAACAUCAAGGAGGCAAUAUCUCUAUCCUAAACUAUCUCUCACAUCAAAGGCAUAGCAAGCCAAUUGAUCUCUCAAGGUUGGAUAGCCUAAGUGCAUAGGUCGAGCGAGCCAUAUCAUGGCCCUGAGAAAGCAAUAUCUCUAUCAUAAACUAGCCUUCAUGCCCAAGACCUAGCAAGCUAACCAAUCUCUUGAGGUUGGGAUGGCCUGCAUUUAUAGUUGAGUAAGCUAUUCUAAGGCCUAGAGGAGGAAACAUCUACAUCCUGAAUUGGCCCUCACACUGA